CACGCCGUAAACGAUGGAUACUAGGUGUAGGAGGUAUCGACCCCUUCUGUGCCGGAGUUAACACAUUAAGUAUCCCACCUGGGGAGUACGGCCGCAAGGUUGAAACUCAAAGGAAUUGACGGGGGCCCGCACAAGCAGUGGAGUAUGUGGUUUAAUUCGAAGCAACGCGAAGAACCUUACCAGGGCUUGACAUACCAUUGACGUACCUAGAGAUAGGUAUUUCCUUCGGGACAAUGGAUACAGGUGG
rnacentral:rRNA from 1 species